CUUGUAAGAGCCCAGCACAGCACAGAUUUACAAAAUGAUACACAAAGACCUCAGAGUUUCCAGCCUGGUGUUCUGCCUUGUGGAUUUCAGAUUUGCCAAGCCCCACAAUUACAUAAUGAAAUUCCUUAAAGAAGCGAACUUUUGCUAUUGCACAGACCUGCUGCCUCCAGAGCGCCACGCCACUGAUUGUUUUCCUUGUUUCGUGGAAGGAAGACAAAACUUGUUCCAGCUCAACAAGGCUUCCUAUAUCUUUUGCCCCAUCAGUUUAAACACCUCAUUCAAAGUUGUUAUGGAAACACCAUAAUCCUCAAUGCCUUGGCUGGAAUGCAGUGGCUCAAUUUUGGUUCACUGCAACCUGCACCUCCCAGAUUCAAGUGAUCCUCCUGCUUCAGCCUCCCGAGUAGCUGGGAUUACAGUGGUACAUCCUGUAGUUGAGGGCUUCUUACACCUGAUGAAAUACCAUAGGUUCUGCAUGUCAGGAGAUUCCAUAUUCGGUGCCUUGAAAGAGGAUCCAAUCCAGCAGUCGGUUCAUCCAAUAGCAAAACCUGGACAGGAGGAAAGUCCUAAAGUA
rnacentral:lncRNA from 1 species